GGGCCCGUAGCUCAACGGCAGAGCAGGGGACUUUUAAUCCUCCGGUUCCGGGUUCGAAUCCCGGCGGGCUCA
rnacentral:tRNA from 1 species